GAACCGGGCAAACGUUUAUUCGGAAUUACUGGGCUUAAAGGGUGCGUAGGCGGCGCUUCAAGUCGGGUGUGAAAUCCCCCAGCUCAACUGGGGAACUGCGCCCGAAACUGGAGUGCUUGAGGGAGAUAGAGGUGAGCGGAACGAAUGGUGGAGCGGUGAAAUGCGUUGAUAUCAUUCGGAACACCCGUGGCGAAAGCGGCUCACUGGGUCUCUUCUGACGCUGAGGCACGAAAGCUAGGGGAGCGAACGGGAUUAGAUACCCCGGUAGUCCUAGCUGUAAACGAUGAGCACUAGAUCGGGGAGCCCCUCCACAGCCUCCCGAUCGUAGCGAAAGUGUUAAGUGCUCCGCCUGGGGAGUAUGGUCGCAAGGCUG
rnacentral:rRNA from 1 species